CCCCUCAAUAUUGCUAUGCACCUACAAACUAGCCACCAACAACUCUUUUUAUGUUAUUUGUCCAUAUUAUGACAUAACUGCUAAGACUUUUUGCAAAGGGGCUGACUGAUCAGAAGAGCACACGU